rnacentral:rRNA from 1 species
AUAUACGACCGUACCGCAAACCGACACUGGUGCGCGAGAUGAGUAUUCUAAGGCGCUUGAGAGAACUCAGGAGAAGGAACUCGGCAAAUUGACACCGUAACUUCGGAAGAAGGUGUGCCCUAUUAGUGUGUAGUGAACAACGAAGCGUGAAUGGGUUGCAAAAAAUCGGUGGCUGCGACUGUUUAUUAAAAACACAGCACUCUGCAAACACGAAAGUGGACGUAUAGGGUGUGACGCCUGCCCGGUGCUGGAAGAUUAAAUGAUGGGGUGCAAGCUCUUGAUUGAAGUCCCAGUAAACGGCGGCCGUAACAAUAACGGUCCUAAGGUAGCGAAAUUCCUUGUCGGGUAAGUUCCGACCUGCACGAAUGGCGUAACGAUGGCCACACUGUCUCCUCCUGAGACUCAGCGAAGUUGAAAUGUUUGUGAUGAUGCAAUCUCCCCGCGGAAAGACGGAAAGACCCCAUGAACCUUUACUGUAGCUUUGUAUUGGACUUUGAACAGAUCUGUGUAGGAUAGGUGGGAGGCUUUGAAGCAGGGUCGCUAGAUCUUGUGGAGCCAACGUUGAAAUACCACCCUGGUGUGUUUGAGGUUCUAACCUAGGUCCAUUAUCUGGAUCGGGGACAGUGCAUGGUAGGCAGUUUGACUGGGGCGGUCUCCUCCCAAAGCGUAACGGAGGAGUUCGAAGGUACGCUAGUUACGGUCGGACAUCGUGACGAUAGUGCAAUGGCAUAAGCGUGCUUAACUGCGAGACUGACAAGUCGAGCAGAUGCGAAAGCAGGACAUAGUGAUCCGGUGGUUCUGUAUGGAAGGGCCAUCGCUCAACGGAUAAAAGGUACUCUGGGGAUAACAGGCUGAUACCGCCCAAGAGUUCAUAUCGACGGCGGUGUUUGGCACCUCGAUGUCGGCUCAUCUCAUCCUGGGGCUGUAGCCGGUCCCAAGGGUAUGGCUGUUCGCCAUUUAAAGAGGUACGUGAGCUGGGUUUAAAACGUCGUGAGACAGUUUGGUCCCUAUCUUCCGUGGGCGCUGCAGAUUUGAGGAAGCCUGCUCCUAGUACGAGAGGACCGGAGUGGACACACCUCUGGUGUAUCGGUUGUCACGCCAGUGGCAUUGCCGAGUAGCUAAGUGUGGAAGAGAUAACCGCUGAAAGCAUCUAAGCGGGAAACUCGUUUCAAGAUGAGAUCUGCCGGGGCCUUGAGCCCCCUAAAGAGUCGUUCAAGACCAGGACGUUGAUAGGUCAGGUGUGGAAGCUAAAAG